rnacentral:lncRNA from 1 species
AAUGACAUCAAAAUUGAUGUGAUAACUUGUAAUAUCAUAUAAUAUAUGAUAUGUUUAAAUGUACUCAUGAUAAGUUUAACGAGAUGUCAUCAUUUGAUAUUAUAAAAAUGACAUGAUAAUUUGAUACAUGUAAAUGCCUUAUUUUGUUUAAAGUCUUUAAGAUUAUUUUUGGGCCUUACAAUCAAUUUUGUGAUUUUUGACCCAUUAAUCGAAAUGGGCUUUUAAAUUCGUUUUGCCCCUGAUUAACAAUUUUUUGGACUUUUCCAUUUCAGAGCCCAAUUAAAUUAAAUUGUUUUCUUUUCUUUCCUUUUAUUUAUUUUAUUUAAAAAAAAAAAGGAAAAUUGGAAAACUAAAAAAAACAGAGAUAAAUCCAAAUUUGGGAUUGAGUCCUUGAUGAAUUGAUAUUCCUGAUGAAUCGAAAUUCAAGAAGAAAUUUUAUCGAAAUAUUUCUUGGACGAUUACUACUUUCAAAUUUAGGGUUAAUCUCUAUAAAAGACAAUCGGAGAAGGGAAGAUACACAUAGAAAAAAAAACCCAAAAGACGAUUUUUUGACCUAGCAGAACAUUGCCAGCGUUGCCUAACCAAAGCCCUUGUACCCACCAGCAUACCAGCCUAAGUCAAUGGUCUCUAUCUCCUAGCCCACUACGCACCAGUUAUUCGAAUUAUCCUCACUACCAUCGUUGUCGUCCACCAUCCCACUGCCACCAACUACAACUGAAGCCUUAACCCCAGAACUACCUUGCCGAGUAGCAAGUCAAGACCAAUAUUUUCAGACCCUUUCCAGCACCAACUCCAUCACCGCUCCUGCAAUAGAAACCCAAGCAAACACAAUCACAUAAUAAUCACAGAGGCAUAAGAAUCAGAAAUCAAGAGCAUACAGAAAGAAGAAAAAUACAUGAAACUUUUCUAGGCAGUGGGUGUUUGUUUAGGAAUUUUUCGGUUCAGUGAAGUUUAGGGUUUGAUUUGGCUAAAGAGAGGUUUAGGAAAGGAUUCUUGGUGGUCUCGGGUUGUUUAGACGGUGGCAAGGAGGAGUUUAGGCUGGUGGUAGUACCUAAAGCACGGUUUAGAUUUGUGGCUUUGGAAUAAGAUUUGAAGAAAUUUAAUUUGAGAAAGAGAGAGAAGUGGUUAAAGAAAUUUUUGGGGCGAAUUUUGGUGGGUUUCAAUGACCAACGAAAGGGCUACAACUGGCCGGGUUCUGGGUUGUGGUUGAAGCUACUGGCUGUGUUCUUGAAUUUCUGGGGAUUGUUCUUCAUUCAAGAGUGAAGGGAGAGACAGUUAGGGAUAGAGAGAGAAAGCAGGGGAGGAAAAUGGGGACACCAACUUUAUUUUGGCCUUUUAUAGAUACCCCAAACAGAGUCGUUUCAAAGAAGUGGGAAUCUGGGUCUCUUGCAACCCCUGUGAAGGUCCGCUGUCUGACCUAGUUUGGGUCCCACCCAAUGGCAAGUCAAUUUUUUUUUCGUUUUUCUUUAUUUGUUUUUUUUAACCCA